GAUGAACGCUGGCGGCGUGCCUAAUACAUGCAAGUCGAGCGAAUGGAUUAAGAGCUUGCUCUUAUGAAGCUAGCGGCGGACGGGUGAGUAACACGUGGGUAACCUGCCCAUAAGACUGGGAUAACUCCGGGAAACCGGGGCUAAUACCGGAUAACAUUUUGAACCGCAUGGUUCGAAAUUGAAAGGCGGCUUCGGCUGUCACUUAUGGAUGGACCCGCGUCGCAUUAGCUAGUUGGUGAGGUAACGGCUCACCAAGGCAACGAUGCGUAGCCGGACUGAGAGGGUGAUCAGACACACUGGGACUGAGACACGGCCCAGACUCCUGCGGGAGGCAGCAGUAGGGAAUCUUCCGCAAUGGACGAAAGUCUGACGGAGCAACGCCGCGUGAGUGAUGAAGGCUUUCGGGUCGUAAAACUCUGUUGUUAGGGAAGAACAAGUGCUAGUUGAAUAAGCUGACACCUUGACGGUACCUAACCAGAAAGCCACGGCUAACUACGUGCCAGCCGCCGCCGUAA
rnacentral:rRNA from 1 species